AAAAAGACUUUGAAGAGGUAAAGUAACUUAUAGUGUUUUUUCAGAGAGGAAAUGGUUGGUGAAAAUUUCCAUUAUGCUGUUUGUGAAGUGCACCUUGGAGUUUUGCACCGAAGUUUUGAGGCUGCAACGGGCUUCUCCCGUUAUAGAGAUAGGAUAUGUAAGUAUCUGACAAAGUGGAUUUUUAAUCAAUUAGAGUGGAACCGCGGAUUUUAUUCGUCUCUAUC
rnacentral:ncRNA from 1 species